rnacentral:lncRNA from 1 species
AAAUUGUACAGUUGUACAGUGUCCGGAUAUGUACGAUGUGGUAAAACUACCAACAAUCUCGUCAAAUUCGUCAGAUUUGUCGAGAGAUUUGUGCACAUGAAUGAAAUAGUUGUCACUUGACGUUUAACUACAAACAAAAUCAAUCAACCGACAUAAUAGAUUAACAGUAUACUAUUACCAGAGAGAACCUCAAAUACAUUUUUUAUUAAAAAUCACAAAUGAAUUCAGACAUGUCAGUGUUGGUACAUGUACUUGGAUGAUUCGGCCUAAUAGUUUCGUUUUACACACCCUAGUGACUGUUCAAUAUUAUGAAUACAGAGAUGAAACGCUGACAUUCUCAAUGUAUGCGGAAAAAAAUUGCAUUAAUUGUUUUCCUUAUUGCUUACAUUUGCCGUCCUACUAACAUGUUCAAGGAGUGCCAGGAGAAGACAUAAUUAGGCGCCAUCCAACAGCGGUCAUUUAUUUUAUACAUUGAAUCCAGACAAAAAAAUAUGGCUGAUUUACUAUGCGGAUAUAUAUAGAUUUUUAAAUUAAAGUGCACAUAUGCAGGUCAGUUUUUGGUCGAUGCAGUCAAAAAAUUUUGUUGUAUAAGUCAGCAUGAGGUAUCAAAUCUACUGAAAUUUUGUUACGUAUCAAUAUUUUGAAUAAAAGGAGGACAUGCU